rnacentral:rRNA from 1 species
UACGAAGGGGGCUAGCGUUGUUCGGAAUUACUGGGCGUAAAGCGCACGUAGGCGGAUCUUUAAGUCAGGGGUGAAAUCCCAAGGCUCAACCUUGGAACUGCCUUUGAUACUGGGGAUCUCGUGAGUCCGGAAGAGGUGAGUGGAACUGCGAGUGUAGAGGUGAAAUUCGUAGAUAUUCGCAAGAACACCAGUGGCGAAGGCGGCUCACUGGUCCGGUACUGACGCUGAGGUGCGAAAGCGUGGGGAGCAAACAGG